GCUGAACUGAAACAGUUCUGUAAAGAGGAAUGGUCAAGAAUUACUCCUUACUGUUGUGCACGUCUGAUCUGCAACUACAGGAAACGUUUGGUUGAAGUUAUUGCUGCCAAAGGAGGUUCAACCAGUUAUUAAAUCCAGGGGUUCACAUACUUUUUCCACCUGCACUGUGAAUGUUUACAUGGUGUGUUCAAUAAAAACAUGGCAACAUUUCAUU